rnacentral:rRNA from 1 species
UACGUAGGGGGCAAGCGUUGUCCGGAAUCAUUGGGCGUAAAGAGCGCGUAGGCGGUCCGGUAAGUCAGCUGUGAAAGUCAGGGGCUCAACCCUUGAAAGCCGGUUGAUACUGUCGGGCUAGAGUCCGGAAGAGGCGAGUGGAAUUCCCGGUGUAGCGGUGAAAUGCGCAGAUAUCGGGAAGAACACCCGUGGCGAAGGCGGCUCUCUGGAACGGUACUGACGCUGAGACGCGAAAGCGUGGGGAGCGAACAGG